rnacentral:rRNA from 1 species
GGGGAAUUUUCCGCAAUGGGCGAAAGCCUGACGGAGCAAUACCGCGUGAGGGAGGAAGGCUCUUGGGUUGUAAACCUCUUUUCUCAGGGAAGAAAACAAUGACGGUACCUGAGGAAUAAGCAUCGGCUAACUCCGUGCCAGCAGCCGCGGUAAUACGGAGGAUGCAAGCGUUAUCCGGAAUGAUUGGGCGUAAAGCGUCCGCAGGUGGCUGUGUAAGUCUGCUGUCAAAGAGCAAAGCUCAACUUUGUAAAGGCAGUGGAAACUACACGGCUAGAGUGCGUUCGGGGCAGAGGGAAUUCCUGGUGUAGCGGUGAAAUGCGUAGAGAUCAGGAAGAACACCGGUGGCGAAGGCGCUCUGCUAGGCCGCAACUGACACUGAGGGACGAAAGCUAGGGGAGCGAAUGGGAUUAGAUACCCCAGUAGUCCUAGCCGUAAACGAUGGAUACUAGGCGUGGCUUGUAUCGACCCGAGCCGUGCCGUAGCUAACGCGUUAAGUAUCCCGCCUGGGGAGUACGCACGCAAGUGUGAAACUCAAAGGAAUUGACGGGGGCCCGCACAAGCGGUGGAGUAUGUGGUUUAAUUCGAUGCAACGCGAAGAACCUUACCAAGGCUUGACAUGUCGCGAAUCUUCUUGAAAGGGAAGAGUGCCUUCGGGAGCGCGAACACAGGUGGUGCAUGGCUGUCGUCAGCUCGUGUCGUGAGAUGUUGGGUUAAGUCCCGCAACGAGCGCAACCCUCGUUUUUAGUUGCCAGCACUUAGGGUGGGCACUCUAGAGAGACUGCCGGUGACAAACCGGAGGAAGGUGGGGAUGACGUCAAGUCAGCAUGCCCCUUACGCCUUGGGCUACACACGUACUACAAUGCUCCGGACAGAGGGCAGCAAGCUAACGAUAGCAAGCUAAUCCCAUAAACCGGAGCUCAGUUCAGAUCGCAGGCUGCAACUCGCCUGCGUGAAGGAGGAAUCGCUAGUAAUUGCAGGUCAGCAUACUGCAGUGAAUUCGUUCCCGGGCCUUGUACACACCGCCCGUCACACCAUGGAAGCUGGUAGUGCCCGAAGUCAUUACUCCAACCUUUCGGGGGGGAGGAUGCCUAAGGCAGGACUGGUGACUGGGGUGAAGUCGUAACAAGGCAGCCGUACCGGAAGGUGUGGCUGGAUCACCUCCU